UACAGAGGGUGCGAGCGUUAAUCGGAAUUACUGGGCGUAAAGCGCACGUAGGCGGCUUGGUAUGUCGGGUGUGAAAUCCCCGGGCUCAACCUGGGAACUGCAUCCGAAACUGCCUCGCUCGAGUAUGGGAGAGGGAAGUGGAAUUUCCGGUGUAGCGGUGAAAUGCGUAGAUAUCGGAAGGAACAUCAGUGGCGAAGGCGACUUCCUGGACCAAUACUGACGCUCAGGUGCGAAAGCGUGGGGAGCAAACAGG
rnacentral:rRNA from 1 species